rnacentral:rRNA from 1 species
GACGGGGGCCCGCACAAGCAGUGGAAUAUGUGGUUUAAUUCGAAGCAACGCGAAGAACCUUACCAGGUCUUGACAUCCAACUAACGAGAUAGAGAUAUGUUAGGUGCCCUUCGGGGAAAGUUGAGACAGGUGGUGCAUGGUUGUCGUCAGCUCGUGUCGUGAGAUGUUGGGUUAAGUCCCGCAACGAGCGCAACCCUUGCUAUUAGUUGCUACGCAAGAGCACUCUAAUAGGACUGCCGUUGACAAAACGGAGGAAGGUGGGGACGACGUCAAAUCAUCAUGCCCCUUAUGACCUGGGCUACACACGUACUACAAUGGGCGUUAACAGAGGGAAGCAAAAUAGCGAUAUGGAGCAAACCCCUAAAAACGUUCUCAGUUCAGAUUGCAGGCUGCAACCCGCCUGCAUGAAGUCGGAAUUGCUAGUAAUCGCGGAUCAGCAUGCCGCGGUGAAUACGUUCCCGGGCCUUGUACACACCGCCCGUCACACCAUGGGAGCCGGUAAUACCCGAAGUCAGUAGUUCAACCGCAAGGAGAGCGCUGCCGAAGGUAGGAUUGGCGACUGGGGUGAAGUCGUAACAAGGAGCCGUU